CCUACGGGAGGCAGCAGUGGGGAAUAUUGCGCAAUGGGCGAAAGCCUGACGCAGCAACGCCGCGUGGGGGAUGAAGGCCUUCGGGUUGUAAACCUCUUUCAGCAGGGAAGAAGCGAAAGUGACGGUACCUGCAGAAGAAGCACCGGCUAACUACGUGCCAGCAGCCGCGGUAAUACGUAGGGUGCAAGCGUUGUCCGGAUUUAUUGGGCGUAAAGAGCUCGUAGGCGGUUAGUCACGUCGGAUGUGAAAUCCCGGAGCUUAACUCCGGGCCUGCGUUCGAUACGGGCUGACUCGAGUGUUGUAGGGGAGACUGGAACUCCUGGUGUAGCGGUGAAAUGCGCAGAUAUCAGGAAGAACACCGGUGGCGAAGGCGGGUCUCUGGGCAACUACUGACGCUGAGGAGCGAAAGCGUGGGGAGCAAACAGGAUUAGAUACCCUGGUAGUCCACGCCGUAAACGGUGGGCGCUAGGUGUGGGGAACAUUCCACGUUCUCUGCGCCGCAGCUAACGCAUUAAGCGCCCCGCCUGGGGAGUACGGCCGCAAGGCUAAAACUCAAAGAUAGUGGCGNGNGAGAGCGACGACGACGACGACGGAGGAGG
rnacentral:rRNA from 1 species